rnacentral:rRNA from 1 species
UUGGGGCGCCCAUAUUUCCCCUUGGGUCAAUUCCGGAGGGAUAGGUGAGUUCUCAUACACGCGGAAUUGACUCGCUGGGAGAGCAUUUGCCAGGCAUGUUUUCACUGAGCAUGACCGAAAGUAGGCCUAUAAGAGACUUUCGAAUACCGUCGCAUACUUAAGCAUAACCCAUGCCGCCCUGGGACUGGAGGAUGUUCACUGAUUGUAUCCUUCGGCACCUUACGGGAAACUAAGUCUUUGGGUUCCGGGGAAAGAAUGAACCGAAGGUUGAAACUUGAAGGAAUUUAAGCUUGGGCUCCACCUGAUGAGGACCCUGGGGCUUGUUAAAUCUCAACAAAAUUGGGGAUUUUCCUUUAAACCCGAAGGACUAGUCCCUUUGGUGAGGCUUAAUUCUCAUCUUGGCUAGUCCGAGGUCGUGGCUGUUUCCUGUGUGAAUUUGUUAUCUGCGCACAAUUCAACACCACACACGAGCACGAAGGAUAAAAUCCGAAGCCUGAGAUUGCAAAUGAUUGAGCUAACUCACAGGUAACUUCCUUGCCAUCUCUUAGCCGCUUGCCUUCUGUGAAACCGUUCGUGCGAGCUAGCCGGAAUGAAGCGCCCCAACUAUGGCGGCAGAGGCUGGUCUCGCGUAUGAGACUGUUAUUUGACUUCAUCGCUCAUUGACUCUCUGCAUUCCUUUGUU